CAAUAGCGUAUAUUAAAGUUGUUGCAGUUAAAAAGCUCGUAGUUGGAUCUCGGGUCCAGGCUUGUGGUGCAGCUUAGGCUGCUGACUGCUCGUCCUGACCUCCCUCCCGGUUUUCCCUUGGUGCUCUUAAGUGAGUGUCUUGGGUGGCCGGAACGUUUACUUUGAAAAAAUUAGAGUGCUCAAAGCAGGCUUUCGCCUGAAUAUUAGUGCAUGGAAUAAUUGAAUAGGACCUCGGUUCUAUUUUGUUGGUUUUCGGAACUCGAGGUAAUGAUUAAGAGGGACAGACGGGGGCAUCGUAUUACGGUGUUAGAGGUGAAAUUCUUGGAUCGCCGUAAGACGAACUACUGCGAAAGCAUUUGCCAAGCAUGUUUUCAUUAG
rnacentral:rRNA from 1 species